UCAGGAUGCGUUGCUACAACUGACAGCAUCAACUUUACCGAGGUUGAGACACCAACAGCAGGAAGGAAAGAUGCGAGGAAACCGUCGAUCAAUCCUGCGGCCGGAGGCUUCAUUGGACUAGGUGUUGGAUGUUUGCUGCUUGUUCUGACAGUCCUCAUUGUGGUGUGUCUCUUGAGCAGG